UUCGAUUACUCGACUUGCAAUGGUUGAGCAUGUCGAACAUUAAAUAUAUUUAUCACAAAUACUCUAAUGCUCGAUAUACUCGACUCGCAAUGGGAUCGAGCAUAUUGAGCAUUAAUGUAUUUACCACUAAUGCUUGACAUGCAUUAAUCGAGUUUGUCGAGUAAAGUUUGCGAUUUCAGCAAAUUUUGUUCUUUCAAAUUCAAAAUGGAUAAUUUUUUUAAUUUUCGGAUUAUUUUUUGUUUUUUAUCUUUUAUUUUUGAGAAUGGGUAAAAGCAAUCAUUAACCCUUUAAAUUAUAUGGUAAAAACUUAUUUAAAAUAUAGUACAUCCCGGUGUGAAGUGUGGAAGGACUAACCAACAGUGGCGGAAUUGAAGGUAGUGCUGCCGUCGACGACGUUCCGGCUGCCAGUAAUAAUGGUGUUCAUCCGCCGUCUCCAACGAACAUCAAGUUGGUCUUCUUCUUCGGAAUCUCCACAUUCUCUCUGUAAACCCCCGCCUUUAUCCUAAUCACAUACCUCUGGCUGCUCCCCCUCCCCUCCGGCGNAAAUUAUCCAAACGCAUAGCUCGACUCUACUUUUGGUAGAAGGCGCAGAGAUCGGCUUUCAAAUUCAAAAUGGAUAAUAUAAUUUUUUAAGUUUCGGAUAUUUUUUGUUUUUUAUCUUUUAUUUUUGAGAAUGGGUAAAAGCAAUCAUAACCCUUUAAAUUAUAUGGUAAAAACUUAUUUAAAAUAUAGUACAUCCCGGUGUGAAGUGUGGAAGGACUAACCAACAGUGGCGGAAUUGAAGGUAGUGCUGCCGUCGACGACGUUCCGGCUGCCGGUAAUAAUGGUGUUCAUCCGCCCGUCUCCAACGAACAUCAAGUUGGUCUUCUUCUUCGGAAUCUCCACAUUCUCUCUGUAAACCCCCGCC
rnacentral:lncRNA from 1 species